rnacentral:rRNA from 1 species
UACGAAGGGGGCUAGCGUUGCUCGGAAUCACUGGGCGUAAAGCGCACGUAGGCGGCUUUUUAAGUCAGGGGUGAAAUCCUGGAGCUCAACUCCAGAACUGCCUUUGAUACUGGGAAGCUUGAGUCCGGGAGAGGUGAGUGGAACUCCGAGUGUAGAGGUGAAAUUCGUAGAUAUUCGGAGGAACACCAGUGGCGAAGGCGGCUCACUGGCCCGGUACUGACGCUGAGGUGCGAAAGCGUGGGGAGCAAACAGG